rnacentral:rRNA from 1 species
GGAUGCAAUAAUACCACCAUCAUUAACGCAUCGGAUUUCAUCAGAAUUCAAUAGUUAAGCAUUUUGGGUGACAGUAGUAUCAGGAUGGGUGAUCCGUAGGAAAGUGGUGUGUUGCAUUCC